rnacentral:lncRNA from 1 species
GGCGAGACAUUCCGAGCCAAUAAGGAGUUAACCCAAACAUGGGGAGACGGGCUGGUUGAUUUGAGGUGGCUGAGGAGAUUGGGGGAGAUGGGGAAUUCUCAUAGUCUCCAAACCCAGCAAUUCCUUCCUGGGAGUUUUUUAAACAUUCCUUCCUGGGAGAAGGGCCUCUGAUGGGGACAGCUGAUAAAGGAGCUGCCACCCCCUCCUCCAGCUCCCCACCCCCGUGCCCCACUGGAAGACAGGCUUGAUUUCCACAUCCUGCCUAGCACGGGCUUGGUGAAGCUGGCAGAAGCCCUCUCAUCAGUCUCUGUUCUUCUGUCUGGACUGAACCCUCCAGCCCAGGCUUCAGGCCAGGCGCCAGCUCUGCUUUCACAGCUUUGUGUGACUUUCGCAAUAACCAAAUGGCUUCCAAGCUUCUCCCCUUGCCAACCCCACCCCCAGCCCCUGUCUAUUUUCCAUCUGGUGUCCAGAAUGAUCAUUUCAAAACAUAAGGCUCAUCAUGUCCCUCUUCUGUUCAAGACCCUACAUUUGGCUUUCCAUUUCACUCAACAGCAAUCCAAGGUCCUCUUCAUGGCCGGCAAGUCCCACCUGUUCUCACCCCGGCUGCCCCUACCUCAUCUCAGCCACGCUGGCCUCCUUCGUAUCCCUGAAUGCACCAAGCAGGCUCUUAUCCGACACCUGGGCAGGUCUUCUUCCUUCUGCUGGAAACACUCUUCCCCAAAUAGCUGCAUCCCUUGCUUCCUCUUGUCCUGACCACCCUAUCAAAAAAGGCAUCCUGUUCCAUCAGCCCAGCCCCUUCCUGUACUGUACUGACUGUCCCUACUGAAAUAUAGGCUCCACGAAGGGGAGGACUUUGUUUUUUUUUCACUGCUAUGUCCCCAGCACCAAGAACAACAGUGGCUGGCACAUAGUAGGUGCUCAAUAAAUAAUGAUUUCCUGAUUUAAUCAGAUUGGUUUUGAGUCUAAAGUUAUUUUGUACGUUUUCUUCUUUACACAUUUCUCUAUUUUUCAAAUUUUCUGCAGUAAAUAUGCAUGUUUUUACCAUCAGAAAAAGCAGUAAAUGACAUAGUCUUUUCUCUAGGACCAAUCUUUGGGAGACUCAGAGCUGCUAGAGAAUAAUUUAAGAAGAUGAAGGGAGGCCCUGCCUUGAGCCCCUGGUUCUGAGCAGCACCAGGUCGGUCCUGGUAGACUAUAACAAUACCACUGAUUCCUAAUGGUGGAUGGGGGAACUUAGUGGGGCUAAGCAGACCCCACUUACCUAACAGCAUUUUGUCUUGGGGUCACUGGGGAAGGAGAGAGAAGGAGUGAAAACACGACCAGCAGCAACCCCCUCCCCACUGAAAUGCACCAGGAUCUCCCUAACCCGAUACAACAGACAUGAGGACAUGGGCUCCCAAGCACCCUCCAGUAAGGCAUUGUGGCCAUAGGUCAUUCUUUAACUGGCACAACUGGCUUUUCUCAGACAGACUUUCUCUUUAUUUUCUUCAGGGACUAUUACUCUGAGGCCUAGUACCUGCUGCCUCUGCUUAUAUGACUGAAUCUAGAACAAAGAAGAAACAUCUUAGCUGAGGGGUCAGGGCUCUGGCCUGACAGAAACCCUGUGGUCUUGUCUCCAUGUCAGAGCCCCAUGACUCCAAGUGGGUGGGAGUCCUGGGCUCGCCCAUGACUCAUUGUUCGAGUUCGUAGAGAACUCAGAAGUUCCAUAUGGAAGCACAGCCUCACAGGCUAGAGACAAUUCAGGAAACGAAAGCCCCAUUCACUUGAUUAUUGGUUCAUUUUCUGAUGGAAGCUUUGCUGAUCCUCUUUCAUAAGGACCAUCUGAAAUAGACAACUGAAAAGAGAACUAGGGGGCCAUUUCCCUUCCCUCCUCUAGCCCCUGAGCUCGGUCAUCAGAGUCAUGUGGACCCUAGCCCCUGGAGCUGGAUAGGGCCCAGGGGUCAUCUGGCCACUGUCUGUUUCAUUGUGACUUACCAGGCAGGCCCCCUGAUACUCAGGGACACAGCUGCCUGCCUCCUGGGCUGACUUUCCUGCAAUGCUCUAGAGCGGAGCCAGCCAGCUUCUCCAAGAAGCCGGUGGUAAAUACUCGCUCUGGGCACUGUCACCUUUUCUUUGUUUUUUCCUUACAACCCUUUAGAAACAUAAAACCAUCCUGAGCUCACGGGCUUCACAGAAACAGGCUGUGAGGAUAGGCAAAGUACAGCCCAUGAGCAAGACCCAGCCCACUGCCUGUUUUUGUAAAAUAAAGUUUUAGUGGACACAGCCCUGCUGAUCUCUUGAUGAAUUGCCUAUGGCUGCUUCCACGCUACUACAAUCGUGGAAUUCUGUAGUUGAGACAGAGCCUGUAAGGUCAAUAAAGCCAAAAAUAGUUUCUAUCUGUCCCUUCAUAGAAAACAUCUGCCAAGCCCUUCUCUAAAGUUUCAUAUGCAUUCGUUCCUAUUUAACACUCAAAACAAUUUUUGAGAUUAGUAUUAGAGAUGAGUAUUCCUAAUCUUACAGAUGAAGAAACCGAGAACGAGAAAGGAUAAGGCUUGCUCAAGGUCACAUGGCUAAUGAGGGGCAGAACCAGAACCCAAACCCAGAUCUCAUCUCUAAACCAGGGCUUCUUCACC